GGCAACUUCCAUGUCUCAGAAGCUCAGCCCGAGUGUGCCCAUCACAUAAAUGGAGAAUUAUGCUUCUAGUAAUGGUGAAGCAGCUUCUAUUGCACUGAUUUUCUCAUCAAUAAAUGAAGAAAAGACAAAAUUCACAGUGUGGUAAGCAGU
rnacentral:lncRNA from 1 species